AGAGUUUGAUCCUGGCUCAGGAUGAACGCUAGCUACAGGCUUAACACAUGCAAGUCGAGGGGCAGCAUGGUCUUAGCUUGCUAAGGCUGAUGGCGACCGGCGCACGGGUGAGUAACACGUAUCCAACCUGCCGUCUACUCUUGGACAGCCUUCUGAAAGGAAGAUUAAUACAAGAUGGCAUCAUGAGUCCGCAUGUUCACAUGAUUAAAGGUAUUCCGGUAGACGAUGGGGAUGCGUUCCAUUAGAUAGUAGGCGGGGUAACGGCCCACCUAGUCUUCGAUGGAUAGGGGUUCUGAGAGGAAGGUCCCCCACAUUGGAACUGAGACACGGUCCAAACUCCUACGGGAGGCAGCAGUGAGGAAUAUUGGUCAAUGGACGAGAGUCUGAACCAGCCAAGUAGCGUGAAGGAUGACUGCCCUAUGGGUUGUAAACUUCUUUUAUAAAGGAAUAAAGUCGGGUAUGUAUACCCGUUUGCAUGUACUUUAUGAAUAAGGAUCGGCUAACUCCGUGCCAGCAGCCGCGGUAAUACGGAGGAUCCGAGCGUUAUCCGGAUUUAUUGGGUUUAAAGGGAGCGUAGAUGGAUGUUUAAGUCAGUUGUGAAAGUUUGCGGCUCAACCGUAAAAUUGCAGUUGAUACUGGAUGUCUUGAGUGCAGUUGAGGCAGGCGGAAUUCGUGGUGUAGCGGUGAAAUGCUUAGAUAUCACGAAGAACUCCGAUUGCGAAGGCAGCCUGCUAAGCUGCAACUGACAUUGAGGCUCGAAAGUGUGGGUAUCAAACAGGAUUAGAUACCCUGGUAGUCCACACGGUAAACGAUGAAUACUCGCUGUUUGCGAUAUACGGCAAGCGGCCAAGCGAAAGCGUUAAGUAUUCCACCUGGGGAGUACGCCGGCAACGGUGAAACUCAAAGGAAUUGACGGGGGCCCGCACAAGCGGAGGAACAUGUGGUUUAA
rnacentral:rRNA from 1 species